GAGCAGACAGUUAUCCCUUUCUAGCUUGAUAUCUGUGGCUCUAGAGGGAGUCAGUCUGCCAAAUUAAACAGAGAAGGCUCUGCCUUUGUCCAGCACGGUUAGGCACUGAUGCGGGCUGCAGGCUUUCUGUACACCA
ensembl:snoRNA small nucleolar RNA, H/ACA box 56